rnacentral:lncRNA from 1 species
AUAUCUUUGAUGAAAAAUUUUAGUACUAUAUCACCACUUUUUAUGAGAUUUUUAUUUUCAGCCGUUGAUUUUGAAUCCUUUCGAUUACUAAGUAAACGAUAUCGAAAAAUCGCAAAAUUUAUUUUCUAGAUACUUCAAAUAUGCUAGAUCAAAUCUAGCGGAACUGAUCGUCGAUUCGGGAGUCCCAAUGUCCCAUCAUUGAAAACGACUCAAGAGCACGGAGGGCCCUGUGCUCCUGAGAGCACAGCAGCUCAACUCUAUAUGAGUCCGGCUACUAUACUAUCGAUAGUACCAAGCCCUUGGUACUAUUGAGUUUUCUACCGUUAGAUCUACCCUUUGAACAUUUCCACCUAUUAGAUUAUACUAUUAAACCAACCACCCACUCAACCCUAGAGGACCACUAUCAAUUUAACCGGGAACCACUAUCAUCCUAACUGCACAUCCUUUCAUCCAACGGUAGAAAACUCAAUAGUACCAAGGGCUUGGUACUAUCGAUAGUAUAGU